rnacentral:rRNA from 1 species
AGGUUUACUGCAUUCGUUGUCGCAUAAAGCCCAUGGGAGUCAUAUGUUCGUAAGAACAUGGGCGUACUGCUUCAGUAACCACGGUGGAUACCCUGCCCUUGGGGUCCGGCAUAACCCCCGGGAAAACUGGGAUUAAUUCCGGAUAACGCACAUAUGGGGGAAUGCUUUAUGGGUAAAAAUGGAUUGGUCUCCCCAGGGAUGGGGUCUGCGCCCUAUCAGGGUAGUAGUGGGUGUAAUGUACCUAAUAGCCUACGACGGGUACGGGUUGUGAGAGCAAGAGCCCCGGAGAUGGAUUGUGAGACAUGAAUCCAGGCCUUACGGGGCGCAGCAGGCGCGAAAACUUUACAAUGCGGGAACCCGUGAUAAGGGGACACCGAGUGCCAGCAUCCUAUGCUGGCUGUCCGGGUGUGUAAAAUACACCUGUUAGCAAGGGCCGGGCAAGACCGGUGCCAGCCGCCGCGGUAACACCGGCGGCCCGAGUGGUGAUCGUGAUUAUUGGGUCUAAAGGGUCCGUAGCCGGUUUGGUCAGUCCUCCGGGAAAUCUGACAGCUUAACUGUUAGGCUUUCAGAGGAUACUGCCAGACUUGGAACCGGGAGAGGUAAGAGGUACUACAGGGGUAGGAGUGAAAUCUUGUAAUCCCUGUGGGACCACCUGUGGCGAAGGCGUCUUACCAGAACGGGUUCGACGGUGAGGGACGAAAGCUGGGGGCACGAACCGGAUUAGAUACCCGGGUAGUCCCAGCCGUAAACGAUGCUCGCUAGGUGUCAGGCAUGGCGCGACCGUGUCUGGUGCCGCAGGGAAGCCGUGAAGCGAGCCACCUGGGAAGUACGGCCGCAAGGCUGAAACUUAA